GACGAACCGUGCGAACGUUGUUCGGAAUCACUGGGCUUAAAGGGCGCGUAGGCGGGCUGUCAAGUCUGGGGUGAAAUGCCGCGGCUCAACCGUGGAACUGCCUCAGAUACUGACGGCCUCGAGGAAGGUAGGGGCAUGCGGAACUGUAGGUGGAGCGGUGAAAUGCGUUGAUAUCUACAGGAACUCCGGUGGCGAAAGCGGCGUGCUGGACCUUUUCUGACGCUGAGGCGCGAAAGCCAGGGGAGCAAACGGG
rnacentral:rRNA from 1 species